CAGGUAGAGUCACUCGGUCGAACUCUGGCUCCAAUUCUUUUCGUUUGCGAUCCAUCUUUUCCCCCCUCCAAACCGUGCUGUUUUUCUCUUUAGGACCAUGACUGCCUUUGCCAUUUUCACCGCAUUGAAUACAGGACUGGUCUUCCUGGGAGCAGCCAUGACUGUUUACCUUGCUCCAUCAGCAGCCGGAUCUGGAGUUCCAGAGAGCAAAGCUUAUCUCAAUGGGAUUGAUGCACCACGAAUCCUGGAACCAAUUACAAUGGUCAUCAAGGUAAGCAAAAAGAUAGAUCUCCGAGGUAAAAAAGGCACUGAAGAUGAUUACCUGUGGUCGAGUAGCUACUUGGAAGUAUCUGUGUCGUCUCGGCAGGACUGUAUCUCGGUAAGGAAGGGCCACUUAUCCAUAUCGGAUCCUGCGUAGCAUAUUUCCUCGGCCAAGGUGGCUCCCUGCGCUAUCAUAUGAACUGGAGAUGGCUGCGAGUUUUCAAGAACGAUCGAGACCGGCGAGAUCUUGUUACCUGUGGCUGUGCCGGAGGAGUUGCAGCGGCGUUUCGAGCACCGAUUGGAGGAGUUCUAUUUGCACUCGAGGAAGUAACUUCAUGGUACGUUGUAUCUUCUGCUCCGCCUUGUUUUCCUGAUUCAAACCUGUAGGUGG
rnacentral:lncRNA from 1 species